AAGGGAGACCUAAUUCAGGUAUGGGACGAAAAAAAAGUAGUCGCUACCAAGAAUCAAUCCCAAAAGGUCGGAGCGAGGUAUGAGGCUUUCAAACUAGGUUCUGGGUACACACAAGACCUGAAUCAGGAACAAGGGCUAUUAGCUCAGGUGGUUAGAGCGCACCCCUGAUAAGGGUGAGGUCCCUGGUUCGAGUCCAGGAUGGCCCACCUGCACAGGUGGCAAAAACAAGAGAAGCGAGGAAUCAGCACCUUAUCUUAUCUAUAUAUAAGAGAGAAUGCUGGCUCUGAGUAAAGAGUCCAGAGGAACCUUGAAAACUGCAUAGAGCUAGGUGAAAAAGCCAAAAAAGAAGACCGCAA
rnacentral:tRNA from 1 species